GCCACGUCAUCCGGCCACCCCGGCACACGCCGGAAGUCCUCCCGACGCGGGGCCGCAACCGCCGCCGGCGCGCGCAGGCCGUGGGGCUGAAGGGUUCCGGAACCGGUGUGCCGCCGAUCGCUCUGCUUCAGCCUCGGCCUGAGCCCUCGCGCUGUCAAGCCGAAGCCUCCGGGGCCGGAACCUUGGCUUCCUAGCUUGCCGGGACUGCGAAGUGGGGCGGGGCGGGUCAUCUCACCGAGGGCCCCCGAGGCUCAACGCGAACCCCCCUUUCCAUUUAGCCCAGAGAAGGAGCUCCCAAGCUUCUUUAUGGAAGAUGAUCAUUAAACUUGUCCAGGGUGUGUUGGGUGUUUUAACAUCACCGAGUGCUGAUGGAACUUAUGUUCAAUCAAGAGAUGUGGGCUGAGUUGACGUUCUUGUUCGUUUGUUGGCCUACGUAUUGUUUUUCUCCCAUCAUCCUCAGUCAUAAAUGUGUCCUGGAAUGGAAGCGCCUCAGAGCACCAAUCACUUACUUGUUCUUAUUUUCUGUAGCUAAACCGGUAGUAAGGAGCUGGGUUUGGUAUCUCACUCUUGUAACCUCAGCACUCAGGAAGCUGGACGGAUUGUUGCAUAGUCAGUGAUUGCUUGGGUUACAGUGUGAGACAAAACAAGAAAACAAAACAAAACAAAACAAAAAAGUCAAGCAGGUCAUGGUGGUGCAGGCCUGUGAUCCCAGCACUUGAGGGACAGAGGCAGAAUUAAUGAAAAACUGGAACCAACCUUGUCUACAGACCCAGCCCAGACCAGCCAGGCUACAUAGCAAGGCCCCCAUCUCAAACCAAAACAUAUCAAGGACUCAGGAAAAACUGUCAAAUGAACAGAACCGUCCUCUAAAUGUGGGACUUUGGAGGGAGAUUGUCUCACCCAUCAGUACUGGGUAGAGCCUAGCAUUUGGUCAUGUAAUAUCUCAACAGCCAAUAUUCCAUACCACCAUACUGUGCAGAAGUCUAAACAAGAUCUAACAAUCUUCCUUCCCUGUUCAUUCCCACAGAGUGCCAGAGUAAUUGCCUACAAAGAAAUCAGAUUACAUGACUUUGUCCAAAACUCACCCUGAAUAGUGAAUAAGCUAGCUGAGUCGCCCAUCUUCAGUGAGAAUUUGCAUCAUGCUCUUGGACAAUUAAGCACCCCUUCUUUGGGAUUCCCAUAGCAUUUGAGCACCUAACACGGUGACUGGCUCAUAGUGGAGGCUCGGCAAAGGCUCCAUGAAUGAAUAAUCACUGCCUUUGAAUGAAGCGAUGAUGGGCAAUUGAAGAGCAAGCAGCAGGAGUGCCGCAUUGAGAUGGAUGAGUAGUUUCUUAAACAUCCAUCAUCACCAGCCUUUUAGCCUCCGAGAUUUGAGGCAUAAGCUUUUGCUGGGUUUUGUGGGGAACACUAGGCUGGCAAAUGCUUGGAGGUGGAAAGAACACAAGUAAAAUUAGGAAGUAUUUGGGGAGUGUAAAUCUAAAAUUAGGAACUCUUAUGUUAAAGAAUAGGCAGGGCAUUUUUUUUUUUUUUUAAUGCACAAUGCAAUCCAGGCAGUGGUGGCACACACCUUUAAUCCCAGCACUUUGGAAGCAGAAGGAGGCGAAUCUCUUUUGAGUUCGAGGCCAGCCUAGUUUACAAAGCAAGUUCCAGUACAGCCAGGCUGUUACACAGAGAAACUUUGUCUCGAAAACCCGAAAAACAAAAUGCACAAUGUGAUUGCUCAUAUAAGUGCUCCCAAAGUGGUAACGGGAAUCAGAAGUAAAAGAAGGAGACACCUCAUCUCUGUGGAGAAUUUGGGGAAAUUUUGUGGCGGAAAAAACAGAUGAGGUCACCAGUUCAAUAACUCUAUUGAGCAUUUACUGUGUGCCAAGAACUCUGGUGUGUGUCAUCAGUCAAUAAAACUGUGGUAAUGACAGGUGCAGGAGGAAGGAUUAGGAGAUAAAAGAACUGAUUAGAGAAAAACAAGUGUGGCUUCCAAGUUCCUUGAAAUCUGAUAAACUCAAGACUGAACCAGAAGAGCUCAGGAACACCAUCAAAAUUAGUUUGGGGGCUAGGAUGUAGUAGAGCGCUGACCUAGUGUGCAGAAAACUCUGGGUUUCA